GCAGGACUCGUCUGGUGUCGACCGUGUUCUGGUCGUGUUUGUCUUUUGGUGUUCCACCUGUUGUCCUAGUGACUAUGAAUGGACUCCGGUCCUGAUGAGGUGUCAGAGGCGCUCCUGAUUUCUCCUGAGACAUCUGCAGAGCCCGGUCAACUGCCAACUCCACAGAGAGGGCAAAGUGAGCCAUUCCCCAGGCCAAUAGCCGUCCCCACCGGUCCUCCUCCACAGCUUCCUGGCUGCCACCAUGACGUCAGCCAGCUGACCUGUUCACAGCAGCAGAGGAUCUGUUGAAGACGAGCUGGAAGC